GGACAGACAUCCCCCACCUCCGUGUCCUCUACCUGCCUCUUGUUUGUAGAAAGCUUUAGUCUCCCAGGCCUCCCCUGAGUCACAAAAGGCUGGCUCAAGAAUGAACAAUUGAAAGAAUGUGAAUGUGUAAUAACAAAGAAAACAGCAGUUGGGCCAAGAUACUCAGUAACCAUUUAAACAGUAAAUCAGCCACAUGGCAGUCACAGAAUCUUUAAUUCCUCAGUGAAGGACAUAGAUAAUGGUGUUUGAUGCACAUCCCUGAAUUGUUCUGCAGAUACUAAAAUGUCCACCAGAUGGAAGCAGGUAACUUCAUGAUGACCAUGAGCAUGUAAACCCUAGACUGGCUAGAGUCUAACAAUUGAUGAUGUUAACCCCUGUGAAAGCAGCCUGUUACCUCACCCUCAACCAAUCAGAGAAUUGUGCACAAGCUGAUCAUGCACCUUGCAACUGUCUCUGUCAGCUUGCCUUUAAAAACAUUUUCCUGAAAUCCAUCAAGGAGUUAAGGGUCUUUUAAAUAUUUGCCACCUGUACUCCUUGCUUGGUUCCUGCAAUAAAGCCUGUGGUUUGCUUCACCACAAUCUGCGAUCAGUAGAUUGACUUUAUUGUAUAUGGGAGAGUGUCCCCAAGUUUGGCUUGGUGACAAUCUUAGCCUACCAUACACCUAUUCCUUUCUUCUCCCAGCUACAGAGAUGGGCAUAUGCCCCCAAACCAGGGCUGUCAAGACUCCUUCUCAGAACCUCUUCAGGGGAUUUGCAGAUGUUCUCAUACAAUAGGAGCUGUCAGACUGGUACUUUGCCAGUCUUGGGGUGCUGGGGAUGCUCAUGCCUGCUCCAUGAGGAGAGUUUGAGGGACACAGUAUUUGUGCACUUCAUCUAGCUGUGCCUCGGGGCAGUGUAACUUCUGGACUUUGUAGCUGACGUGGCCCCCAAAUACCUUUUUAUUGCUUAAGUGAAAUUCUGUCAGGUGUAGUCAAUAGUCUGCCUAAUUUCAUUAGGGCUUUACUGCUUUAGCUGAAUACUUUCCUGGCAAGUUUAUAAAGACUGGGAAUUGCUUUAGGAGUUGAGCCAUCACAGGACCUUCUUGGUCAAGUUUGUGUUUUCCCUGGCAAUUAAAUUCCUUUAACAUCCAGCAAGUGCCAGAAAUCUUACUGAGUCACGAUUCCAGAAUCCAGAUUCUGCCUCUGAUGUUUCAGUCUCUUGGCAACAGCAGUUGCCUGUCCCUGAAGCGCUAGGUCACAGUUGAAUACUUUUGUUUUUGCUGCUACCUGUGAAACAACAGCGUCGCCUCUCAGGUGCACGGCUCGCAGCCGGGACUCCCGCCGCCUCCGGCCCCACCCGCCGCCUGCCGCCCGUGGCCGAAAAUCAACAUUUUAAAGAAAAUGCCAUUCAUAGGAGAGCAGCACCCAUGUCAGCCUCUUCUCUUUCAUCUUUGUUUCCUCCUUCUCAGAAGCAGAAAUGCAGUCCCAAAAGCCUAACUGUACUCUGAAUCAAUUCACUUUAUCUCUCCUGAGG
ensembl:lncRNA